rnacentral:rRNA from 1 species
UACGUAGGGUGCGAGCGUUGUCCGGAAUUAUUGGGCGUAAAGAGCUCGUAGGCGGCUUGUCGCGUCGGAUGUGAAAGCCCGGGGCUUAACUCCGGGUCUGCAUUCGAUACGGGCAGGCUAGAGUUCGGUAGGGGAGAUCGGAAUUCCUGGUGUAGCGGUGAAAUGCGCAGAUAUCAGGAGGAACACCGGUGGCGAAGGCGGAUCUCUGGGCCGGUACUGACGCUGAGGCACGAAAGCGUGGGUAGCAAACAGG